UUCUGGCAAGGAGUGAUCAAUCAAACCCUGAUUUCCCAAGUCACCGAUGUAGUAUGCAAUGAGUAUGACCUAGUAUGAUGCUAAUGCAAUGUGAAACACAAUCCCAUGCUUCCAAGAAAAAUGAAGGGUAAAUUUUGGGGUAUUACACCUUGGAAACAAUAAAAGCGCGAUGGCGACUCUUGUUAUUUGAUCUCUAGCUUAUCCAUAGCUUGAUGAUCAUGAAUUUAUCGCUAUAGAAAUUAAGUAGCGACUCUGCUGGGG
rnacentral:lncRNA from 1 species